GGGUGCACAGGGCUCCCCCUGGGUUGCACACGUGCAGAGUGAGUUCUGUGAACCAGGAGUGACAGAAAAUCGUAGGCUCAGGGAAGCGCACAUUAGCUUAUCAGCUCUCAUGGUCACACAUCUUUGCACCUAUUGAUUUUCUUCCUUUUCAUGUUAAAAGAGGUCACAGAUAUGAUCUGGCUUCAGAAGUAUAAAUUGCAGGCCCAGUAUACCACAGUGUUUAUAUUUUUCUUAAAGAGCGGAGAACUACCAGUGUCACAAAAUGCACUUGACAUGUGUCACCUCUCUUUCCGGUGGAGUUUCGUGUAUUCCAGCGGGAGUUCUUUAGGUCAAGAACGUAAGAGCCAGGGUGACACUACUAGGAAUGGCCAACGGAACAACUGCCGUCCCGACCCAAUGAAGCAACACGAGCAGCCUGGUCAUCUGCCCGUCUUCCCCUUCCAAUAAGGCAGGUCAAGAACUAAUGAGAAAAUCACGGAUAGGAACAUCUGGAUAAAACUCACCCACGAAGUAAAUGUCACAUUUGAUGAAGCCGACAUGUGACAAGUGUCGGGGUGUGACCUGAUGCUCCCCCAUGUUUCCACUCCUGUUCAUAGUGGUGUUACAGCUUGGCCGGCCCAUAGACUGAACAGGCAGGCAGGGCCAGGUACCAGGAGGGCCUUCCCAGAUCCAGUCAGCCGCCAGCAUCCUAGAUCCUGAAAGGUUUUAUUCCACAAUUUCCCCUCUGAUAAGAUACAGAAAGUAGAACAAGUGAUUUGUGAGAAGUAAAUCCAGACAGCUGCCAGGUCUCACAGUGAACAAGGGAGCAUGGGGUUUGCUGGAGAAAGCCAGCCUUCCUCACGGCCUCUGCAGCGUUUGAUGAACCAGACAGUGGCACUAACCCUGGCUCCAGCCUCAGAGGCCCGAGAACCGGGCGCCUGCGGUCCCUCUGUGCCAGUCGAGCAGCGUGGCGUCCACAUGGCGUCCCCGGCAGGCUGAGGCGGGACAGGCCGCCGCCCCAGAAACCUGAGUUAGCCUGGUGCUGUGAGCUGAGCUCCACGGGAGGGCUCCCUCUGAGCACCCCAGUCUUGGGGAAGAUCUCCACCGUGUUUCUUCCAGAAUCAAUUGCUCACCAAAUUCUGUGGAAGACGUUAUACAGGUGCACACGUUCAAGACACCACACAGGGCUGAGAGCGUGUCCUUCACCGUGGAAGGUGUAGACGACACGGAGAUGAGGGGUCCUGGUGAACAGGUCCUCCUGAAAGGUGGGAGACUUCCACCAGGAGGAUUAAGACAUGCCAGGAACGAGAGGAAGAGGCCCAGGAGAGGAGGAGGCCAGAAACAUCUGGAAGGGUCCGUCUUCCUCUGCCUAAAAUCAGUCUCCAUUAGCCCUAGAGUGGCUGGUGGUAGGGCUGUUGUGAGGAGAGCUCCGCGCCCGGGGCAGUGGGUAGUGGACUGUCCUCUGCCCCAUCCUAGCAGGAGAGGACAGAGAAAGGAGUGUCCCUCACGGUCAGCUCUGCAGCCACUCCUGCCUGCCACUUCUCCCCACCCGAAACGCCCACCUUCCUUCAUUUCUGAGGUGACAGUCAGGGACGAGGCUCAGUUACAGGUGGAAGUCUGUCCUGACUCAUUUGAGACCCAGCCAGGCAGGUCUUCUAUCUCCGAUAGACAUCACAAUGUAGCAAGCCUGAGAGAAUUCUGACUUAAUUGUGACUGAGUCUGUGGGGCCUCCCCGUUUCCUCCUGCACUUUGUCCUGGGAGCCUUCCGAAGCCUGGCUCCACCUUCUCCCAGCCUUGGUUCAUCAUCACCAUCUUUUCUCCGAUGAAGGACCAUCACAUCAGAUAAGGCAGGUUGGUCAUAGAGCCCCUCCCCCGAGAAGAGGGGAAGGUGGGAAAAGCAGCAGUUCCAGGGCCUACUUUUAAGAAGAAAGACUCGUGCCUCCGAGCAAAGCUUUACAGCUGUGGGUAAUUGGUACCCGUGAUGAACGCACCUCUGUGUUGAAUAGCACUGCUUCGAACUGUGGGCAUUCUACUUGUCUCACUCACAGGCAUAAAUAAAAAACAUGUCAACAAGCCACUAAACCAUUUCCUCCAGAUUUAAUAAAUUCUGGCUUUGUGAUUCUGUGAUUCAAACAAAUGGUAUUAAGAAACAAUAUUCACAGGUUUAAGAGUUUCAGCAAAUGAUGUCCAUUUGGGAAAGACACCUUCUGAACAAGCAAACAAAAAUUGUUUAACUCAUUAAAAACAGAGAUUUCCAUUUAGAAAUUAUAAGGAAUUCUUCUGUAAGCACACGCGUGUCCCUCCCUGAGAGGUGCUCUGGGCCUGAAUGAUCAUGGUUCGUGAUGCUUGCUGUUUCUUCUUUCAGAUGUGCUGGUUCUCUGAGUUCAUCAGUGGGUACCAGGCCCUUCCAGUUUCAGUUUGGCAGAAUAACCACAUUUCUUCCUUUUCAUAAAUUAUUCCAAUACAAUGAAAACAAGAAAAUAAAUCCAAACUCCACCUUUAACAAAAGUAGAGACAUGUGCACUUGCAAAUCUCAAAAUAUGAAGACAGAAAAUGGAUGCAGAAAAGAUGAGGAAACGGAGUCACAAAGGAGCUGUGUCAUUUGCCCAGGAUCAUGAGAAUUCUAUUGGGUGCUGAAGGAUGACAAAGAGAGGUCACCCCCUCCGACCAGAAUGUUGAUUAUACUUUUUAAAGAAAAGACUCAUCGAUGAUAAUUGAAAAAGAAUCUGUGAUGGCUAAGUUUGUGACAGAAUUAGAUGAAGUAAGAGCCAUUUUGAUGUAUUAUCAAGAAGUUUGAAGUGGAUUUCUGUCCCUCCCAAUGAGAAGAAGGCCUUCGUGUGUUACACCAAGCAGCUUGGUCUCCAAGACAUCCUUUAUAGUCUUUUUAACACUGCACUGGAUUCCACACUACUGGAGAUAGUUGAUUAGCAGUCCAUGCCUUUAAGACAAUGAUUUCCAGACGUGCUCUCUGUACACGGGCAGGAAAAAUGACGAUUACCUUCUGGACUUUUAUAUGUACAUAGUUAUUGUUCUCUGGUUACAAAUGUAACUGUGGAUGGUUAGCUUUUAUGUAAGAUUUUAAUCCCUCUCUCAUUUUUUCUACUGGAUACCUUUAUCCACACUAAUUAUGAUGGGCCAACCAGAACCUUGUGUAGAUCAUUAAACAAGUAAGAUAUCACAAUAUUCUGCAGACAUAAUUCAUCAUAAUGUCUGUGGUGAGAGAGUUCAGGGUAUUAAGACUUUCAUUUUCAUGCUGGUGGACAUACAGACACAAAUAACGAGCUAAAGAUUCUAGAUUUAUGCACAGUGGCACCAUGAAAAAUGUAGGAUUUUUGACAGAAAAAUGUCCCCCCAAAACUUAUUAUCAAUAGUCUACAUGUUGUA
ensembl:lncRNA